rnacentral:rRNA from 1 species
GACGAACGCUGGCGGCGUGCUUAACACAUGCAAGUCGAGCGGUAAGGCCCUUUCGGGGGUACGACGAGCGGCGAACGGGUGAGUAACACGUGGGUGACCUGCCCUCAGCUCUGGGAUAAGCCUGGGAAACCGGGUCUAAUACUGGAUAUGACUCCAUGACGCAUGUUGUGGGGUGGAAAGCCUUGUGCGGCUGAGGAUGGGCCCGCGGCCUAUCAGCUUGUUGGUGGGGGUGANGGCCUACCAAGGCGACGACGGGUAGCCGGCCUGAGAGGGCGACCGGCCACACUGGGACUGAGACACGGCCCAGACUCCUACGGGAGGCAGCAGUGGGGAAGUCUUGCGCAAUGGGCGAAAGCCUGACGCAGCGACGCCGCGUGAGGGAUGACGGCCUCGG